rnacentral:lncRNA from 1 species
GUUUCUUUAUAAUUAUAUAUUCUUAAUUUUUUGAGUUUCUUAUUGGAAAGCUUAAAUUAUGGUCAAAUAUGUAAUAUUCCAACAUGAACAGACUGUUCCUUUGCAUUUGUAUUAUUUUCUAAUUUAGUUAGUACAUAUUCCUAAGGUAGUAAAGUCUACUAGAACAUGCCCUCAUUGUGCUGAUCUCAUGGUCUAGCAUGGAAAACACAAUUAAAGUCUUUCUGGAUACCUCAAUUGCUUACAUAAUAUAAUGUAGGGCUUUUCCAACUCUCAAUGGAUGAAUGACUCAGAACAUGGCUUAGGAAGAGUUUUGCUUCGGUGCAUAUUAAUCAAAUUCCAGCCCUUAAGGAUAAAAUGGGUAUUUAACCCAUAAAUCAGUUCAGCCUGUUAACACUAGGAAGAUUGGAUUAGCUC